AUUGAACGCUAGCGGGAUGCUUUACACAUGCAAGUCGAACGAGUGGCGGACGGGUGAGCAAUAUAUCGGAACGUGCCCAGUAGCGGGGGAUAACUACUCGAAAGAGUGGCUAAUACCGCAUACCAUUGGAGCGGCCGAUAUCGGAUUAGCUAGUUGGUGGGGUAAAGGCUCACCAAGGCAACGAUCCGUAGCUGGUUUGAGAGGACGACCAGCCACACUGUGACUGAGACACUGCCCAGACUCCUACGGGAGGCAGCAGUAGGGAAUCUUCGGCAAUGGGGGAAAGUCUGACCGAGCCAUGCGGCGUGAGUGAGAAGGUUUUCGGGUUGUAAAACACUGUUGGUAGAGAAGCGGUAUCUAACGAAAAAGCACCGGCUAACUACGGGCCAGCAGCCGCGGUAAUAC
rnacentral:rRNA from 1 species